CAUUUGGGUUUACGAGGACAGAGGCCAUGUCCUCAUAAUUCCGACAGUGUAAACGCCAUCUACGAUGUCCCAGAUGCUCCCUCUCAAAGUUUGGCGCCAUGUCUUUAUAUACCACAAAACCCUGAAAUUUUACCAUACACAGUGUAUCCCUGAUUUCGCGAGUGUCGCCCCUGUAGCCAGGUCCCGGUAUUACACCCGCGUCAUCAAAAAUUUGCAUGUUUUACACAAGUGUAUGCUUCGAGGCCUGUGAUUGGACAGAUCGGUACCGGUAGGCGGGAAAUUGCGAAAACACAAUGGCGCCGGUGGGCGGAGCUUCAUUCAGCGUCAGCAUAGUCUUUAUAACAAGCAACUUAAUGCAAAAUAAUUAUUAUUUAAGUAUUUUUGCCUGUAAUUUAUUAAUUGUGGAUUAAUUGUAUGAUAAAUAAAUAAAUAAAACCCUGUUUAUAUUAUGAUAAGUUAGACGUAACUUAAUCAGGUCACGGUCGUCACGGUCACUUCCUGUUUGAACGAGAGACAAACUCUGGACCUGAAAGGACCGAAAGGACAUAUCUGGACCCGAUGAAAGCAACUGUUAUGUGUUAGAUGAGCCAUAAGACCCAGUUGUCCUCAGGCAGUGAUGAUUAUGUGCUCUGACUCUGGGACUGCACGAGACUCCCAGUGAGGUUGAUUGCUCCACUCUCGAAAUCAACACUCGAAAUCAAGUCGGAGAUGAACAGAAGAUGAGCCCUGAGAAGGACCAUAUCAGAUCAUCAUUGGAGGGUCAAGAGUCAAGACUGUGUUGACAUGAUGAGAUCAGUGUGACGGAUUCUGCUGCCAGUGAUCCUGAUGGAAGCGGGUUAUGUUGGUGUUCAGAAGAUGCCCAUCGAGAAAACCACUGACGUGCCUCAAGGUACCCGAGGUUUAAAUCAGAAUAUGACCAUCUAGUAAGCUUUAUCUAUGAGAGCUCAUGUACUUACAAAGCAUGUUGUAUUCUGUACAGAGAAUGACAGUGAGGAAGAAAUUGAAAACCUUGUGGAAAGGACAAAAAGUGUGCUGGUCAAAUGCUGAAGUUACAGCUGCAAUUAAACAUGUUAAGGCACAUAUAACCAAAGGAAAACUGGCCACACUGACUGAAUGGCAGAAGUGUAAGACCACUGAAGACCCUUUCCGUGGAGUUUCAAUCUCUACCUCACUCUCAUUCUCAGCGUAGAAGAAUACAUGCUUUAGUAAGCUCUAAACACACGGGAGCUCAUGUACUUACAAUGAUAGUUAUAUUGACACUAGACUCUUCUAGAGCUGAUGUACAACCCAAGCAAACUUUGUUAAAUAAUUUUCCUGUAAA